UGUUGCAAAUAAUUCUGUCCCUGAAUUCUGUCACAUCUAUUCUGAUCUUGGAAGCAAAACCGAGUCAGCCCUGGUUAGUAUUGAUUGGGAGACCACCAAAAAAUACCAGGUGUUGUAGGUU
rnacentral:rRNA from 11 species